GUGCCAAAUAAUCCCCAAAACCACAGGACAAAUAUUCCUCUCUCCUCUUCACAAGCUCAGUCAUAAUUUCUAUCAGUUUGGCUAUCAUCCUCAAUCGCAAAUCCCCAGGAAACAAACACAACCCUAAAUCUGAAUCUCAAAUUUCUGCUCGGUUCUUGGCAUGUCUCACCGCCGAUAAUCUCCCUCUUCAUCGUUGAUUUGCUCCUUUGCCAGCCACCACAACGCUCAUUCGCCGGUAUUCAUCAUUUUCUCCUUUGCCGGCCACCGCAACUCUCACUCUCCGGUAAAAUUAAAUAUUUCCUCUUCCUCGCCGCUCCUUGAAUUCGCCAGCCUCUGCUCGAGUUUUCUUGUUCGUGCUCAAUAUCCGCCGCCGGCAACACCCUCCAAUUCAAGCCCUCAAUUUGCAGAAUGACGGAUUUGCGGUACCCAGUGAAUCCCUCAAAUAGAAGGUUCAGCAUUGAUUCGAAAUUGAAGCGGAAAGAGGAAGCAUUUGAACUUGCUUAGGAGAAGGAAAAGAAGCUAUUGCAACAAGAGGUUGAGAGAGAUGAAAAACGUCGUGAAAAAGAAGAAUCGGAAAUGAGGAAACAACUUAAGAGAAAGUAGGAGGAAGCUGAAAGGGAACAUCAUCGAAAAGAGAAGGAAGAAGCUGUAAUAAAGAAGCAACUCUCCAUCCAAAAACAAGCAUCGGUUAUGGAACGUUUCCUAAAAUAAUCAGGAUAACUUAGAUAUCCCAGAGUGAUCCAUCUCCAAACACCGCUACCAUAUUUCUUGGUAACAUUGACAAUUUCUUUAUGCAUUUUAUUUGAGUUGCGUCUGCAUUUUCAUGUUUGUAUGGAGUUUGGUAUACUUUUGCCGAGGGAAUGCCUCCAAUGCAGGGAGUUGACACUGAUAGAAGUCAAAGUAACCUCGAGGCAGGUGUUACCAACAAUCCACUGGAUUGCAAGCCAGAAGCUCAACGUGAAUAGUAUUCAUCUUGGAUGCGACAACUGAAGUAUCUACAAAAUUUGACUAAACAUGCUCUUAAAAAGAAUCAACCUCUUACCAUUGUAAACAUGGUGCACGAUAAAGCGCACUUGUUAUCAGCUGAAGAUCUGAUCUUACUGGCAGUCUCAAGGUUGAGUAAAUGUGUUUGCAAGCUCUUAGUAUGCGUCUUUUUCCUGUUGGAUUGUCAGGUACCAUCUGACAACAUUGUGCGAGAAGAGAAUCAAGACGCAUGCACCUCAAAUAGCAAGGGAAGCACAGUAGCAACAGGGAUACCUACAACAAUAAGAGAUUCCAACCUCCCUGAAAUUGUGUCAGUUAUUCCCCACAGGGUAUCACCAGAGUGGUGGAGUGCUUGCAGCAGAGUUCGUAUUUGCUUUUCACUUAUUUUCUUACACUAGCUUGAUUCAACCUUAAUCUCUUUUCUGAUAACAAGUGUUCAAAGACAUAGGAACUUUAUCUACAUUCAUUUAUAUUGUACAAGAAAAAUUAUUGAAAUAUUUUCUUAUCUUAUUAUUGGAAUUUUGAUGAUUAUCUCAA